CCCUUAGAUGUCCUGGGCCGCACGCCCGUUACACUGAUGCAUUCAACGAGCUUAUAACCUUGGCCGAGAGGCCUGGGCAAUCUUUUAAACCUGCAUCGUGAUAGGGAUAGAUUAUUGCAAUUAUUAAUCUUGAACGAGGAAUUCCUAGUAAACGCAAAUCAUCAAUUUGCAUUGAUUACGUCCCUGCCCUUUGUACACACCGCCCGUCGCACCUACCGAUUGAAUGGUCCGGUGAAGCCUCGGGAUUGUGGCCAGUUCACUUUAUUGGGAGUUGGCUGUGAGAACUUGUCUAAACCUUAUCAUUUAGAGGAAGGUGAAGUCGUAACA
rnacentral:rRNA from 1 species